rnacentral:rRNA from 1 species
UACGUAGGGUGCGAGCGUUAAUCGGAAUUACUGGGCGUAAAGCGUGCGCAGGCGGUGAUGUAAGACAGGUGUGAAAUCCCCGGGCUUAACCUGGGAACUGCAUUUGUGACUGCAUCGCUGGAGUGCGGCAGAGGGGGAUGGAAUUCCGCGUGUAGCAGUGAAAUGCGUAGAUAUGCGAAGGAACACCGAUGGCGAAGGCAAUCCCCUGGGCCUGCACUGACGCUCAUGCACGAAAGCGUGGGGAGCAAACAGG